rnacentral:rRNA from 1 species
AGCGAACGCUGGCGGCAGGCCUAAUACAUGCAAGUCGAGCGCACCUUCGGGUGAGCGGCGGACGGGUGAGUAACGCGUGGGAACGUGCCCUUUGGUACGGGAUAACUGAGGGAAACUUCAGCUAAUACCGUAUGUGCCCUACGGGGGAAAGAUUUAUCGCCAUUGGAGCGGCCCGCGUUGGAUUAGCUAGUUGGUGGGGUAAAGGCUCACCAAGGCUACGAUCCAUAGCUGGUCUGAGAGGAUGAUCAGCCACACUGGGACUGAGACACGGCCCAGACUCCUACGGGAGGCAGCAGUAGGGAAUCUUGCGCAAUGGGCGAAAGCCUGACGCAGCCAUGCCGCGUGAAUGAUGAAGGUCUUAGGAUUGUAAAAUUCUUUCACCGGGGAAGAUAAUGACGGUACCCGGAGAAGAAGCCCCGGCUAACUUCGUGCCAGCCGCCGCUGUAAUAC